AUUGAACGCUGGCGGAAUGCUUUACACAUGCAAGUCGAGCGGCAGCGCGGUCUUCGGACUGGCGGCGAGCGGCGAACGGGUGAGUAAUACAUCGGAACAUGCCCAGUCGUGGGGGAUAACACUUCGAAAGAAGUGCUAAUACCGCAUACGUCCUGAGGGAGAAAGCGGGGGAUCGCAAGACCUCGCGCGAUUGGAGUGGCCGAUGUCAGAUUAGCUAGUUGGUGGGGUAAAGGCCUACCAAGGCAACGAUCUGUAGCUGGUCUGAGAGGAUGAUCAGCCACACUGGGACUGAGACACGGCCCAGACUCCUACGGGAGGCAGCAGUGGGGAAUUUUGGACAAUGGGGGCAACCCUGAUCCAGCCAUUCCGCGUGAGUGAAGAAGGCCUUCGGGUUGUAAAGCUCUUUCGGCAGGAACGAAACGGUGAGCUCUAACAUAGCUC
rnacentral:rRNA from 1 species